GCACAGUCAAAAAUAAUGUAUGCUCCAGAAUGUGAAGGAAUCUCAAUCCACAAUAUUCUGAACAGCUUCCAGUUUGAAGUAGACUUCUUAUUGCAGAUGUUUGCUCCCGGAGUUAGCUAGCUAACUUAAUCGCUAGUUGAAUACUACAUUUUACCUCCAUUGUUAACAUUGUUUUUUUUUGUGGUUAAAGCUAAUAACGUUAUCACAAAGUGUCGCUCAAAAGUACUGUCAACGUUAUGUUGCUAAGGAGUUCUGGGACCACCUGCGCUGUUCGAGGCUACAACUACAACCAGGCGAAUUUAACCUAUGGCAAAGUCAACAAUGCUUUUAUCAUAUACACCAUUAAAAAGGUCAGAAUGCACAUGUCCACCAUGGCACACAUUCCAUCGUCUACCAACUGCGGAAGAAGACAAGCAAUUGUGGUUGCGAAAUCUCAAAUUAAAGAAACCACCGAAGACUCGUUCCACUUUGUUGACAAAGUCGAGAACCCUUACCCAACGCUAUGACUAGGCUACGAUAGAGCUCCAGAGAAGAAACGGCAACGACAGUUACCAAGAGUUACUGACAACAUUACGACAGAAGGUUGGUGUUUUCAGCUCACUGACCAGGCACACAGUUUUUAUUAGUUGACUCCCAAAAUGUCGAUGUUAUUGAUCAGAUAUUCCAGUGCCAUUGCCUGUCCAAGCUUACAAUGACAACUAUUACUUUAUGCUUAACCUUGAAGGUGACUGUAGUCAAGCAGGGCGAGUGGGUCACCUCCUGCACCCCAGGGCUUCUCUGAUGCUCAAACACAAUGGAUGGAUCCUAUCCUGGAGGACCACAACUAUUGCAGUCAACUAUACAGAUCAGCAGUGCCAUGGAGAUGACCCAGAGUUCGAGGUGCCCCCCCGUGCCAGUGUUGGUCCUGAUGUUUUCUGUGGACUGGGUCUGACUCUGGGGCUGCUGGGAGUCGCUACCGGAACAUUCUUCCUCGUCAAAGGAACCCAAUGUCAUAAGUUGAAUGCACCAAUUUGUAAGUCGCUCUGGAUAAGAGCGUCUGCUAAAUGACUUAAAUGUAAAUGUAAAUGUAUAAUACCCAGUAUACUCUCUAUGUCUCUGGGUGAUAAUACACAGUAUACUCUCUAUGUCGCUGGAUGAUAAUACACAGUAUAAUCUCUAUGGCGCUGGGUGAAAAUACACAGUAUAAUCUCUAUGUCUCUGGGUGAUAAUACACAGUAUAAUCUUUAUGUCUCUGGGUGAUAAUACACAGUAUAAUCUCUAUAUCUCUGGGUGAUAAUACACAGUAUAAUCUCUUAUAUGUCUCUGGGUGAUAAUACACAGUAUUAUCUCUAUGUCUCUGGGUGAUAAUACACAGUAUAAUCUCUAUGUCGCAGGGUGAUAAUACACAAUAUAAUCUCCUAUGUGUCUUUGGGUGAUAAUACACAUUAUAAUCUCUAUGUCUCUGGGUGAUAAUACACAGUAUAAUCUCUAUGUCGCUGGGUGAUAAUAAACAGUAUAAUCUCCUAUAUGUCUCUGGGUGAUAAUACACAGCAUAAUCUCCUAUAUGUCUCUGGGUGAUAAUACACAGCAUAAUUUCCUAAAUGUCUCUGGGGGAUAAUAUACAGCAUAAUUUCCUAUAUGUCUCUGGGUGAUAAUACACAGUAUAAUCUCUAUGUGUCUCUGGGUGAUAAUACACAGUAUAAUCUCUAUAUGUCUCUGGGUGAAAAUACACAGUAUAAUCUCUAUAUGUCUCUGGGUGAUAAUACACAGCAUAAUUUCCUAAAUGUCGCUGGGUGAUAAUACACAGUAUAAUCUCCUAUAUGUCUCUGGGUGAUAAUAAACAGUAUCAUCUCUGGGUGAUAAUACACAGUAUAAUCUCUAUAUGAGCCCGAACUUGAACCCGAUCUAACAUCUCUGGAGAGACCUGAAAAUAGCUGUGCAGCAACGCUCCCUAUCCAACCUGACAGAGCUUGAGAGGAUCUGCAGAGAAA
ensembl:lncRNA